GAUGAGACGAUGGGAAGACUGAAAGAGAGCUGGAGGAAGAAGGUUACAAACACAGAAACGAUGCAGCAAGAGAAAAUGCCGCUGAUGCAGGAGAGAACAAGCCACAAGACAACACUGCAGCUGGAGACAGUAAGAAAGAAGAUGAAAAUGCCAAUGCCAGCGACAAGCCCGGCAAACAGGAAAGUAAGAACCCCAAUGAUGAUGGUCGGCCAGAGCAAAGUGAACCUGCAGCUUAGAGCAAAGCUUGCUGGCAAAAAUUGUAUCCAAGAUCUGCGUACCCUGUGUAUAAUGUACUUAAUGUAUCUGCGUUGAACGACAAAGUGCUUUUGCUCCACGAAAAUUGCUUUAUAUUCAAUGUGACUAAUUGUAUGUAUGACUUUAAUGUUAUACUGUAUCGAUAUUCAUAGUAUCUAUUGUGUACAGAUUUUAAAUUUAGUUCAUAAAGGUUCAUAGUAUAAUAUUGUACAAAUUGUCGAUUGAAUGUUUUUUUUAUUAUAAGUUUUCUGAAAUUGCGUAUAGACCAUUUUCCAAAUACAUGUAGACUAAUUUUCCACUUAAGUCAUGUAUGUAAUUCUAUGUACAUAGUUAGGUAGAUGUUGACAUAGGAAAAGCCAUAGACCCAAUGUGGUGACCUUGCUUCUAUCCCUGUACAUUUGUAGCCGCUGCCGCCGCUGAAAAGUUCUGGCAUGAUAUCUAUCACGUAGGGAAGGGGACCGGGUAACCAGGAUGUGCCAUGGCCGCCACAACAGUAAAUUGUCAUGUAAGAUAGUGUCCGACGUGAUGUGGUCAUUAUGUGUCUGUGGUUGGCCUUAGAUGUGUAUAGUUUGUAAUAUAUGUAUGUAGUAGCAUAAAAAAUAUUGUAACUAAGAAUUGUUCACCUCAUCGUGUAAGACCAUUCUCGUUUGUCUGUGUUGAAGGACGCAGGUUUGAAUCUGUUGGAGAAUGUGUAAGACUUCAUUGUGCAGUCCUCAUGAAUUGUGUCAUCUCUGUGUUGUCUUCCUUUACAUACUACAUGUAGCUGCGCCUUGUACUUGCCUAUGCCAGUGCACAAAUAGAGUAUAUCUGUCCUAGGCACUAUCACGAGAACCUAUACAUUUGAAUUCAUACAUCACUUAUGUAUAUUGAUACUUCAAUGUAAGUCAAUGAUGAAUGUAUAAUCCGUCAUGUUUCUC